rnacentral:rRNA from 1 species
GAUGAACGCUGGCGGCGUGCCUAAUACAUGCAAGUCGAGCGAACAGAUGAGGAGCCUGCUCCUCUGACGUUAGCGGCGGACGGGAGAGUAACACGUGGAUAACCUACCUAUAAGACUGGGAUAACUUCGGGAAACCGGAGCUAAUACCGGAUAAUAUAUUGAACCACAUGGUUCAAUAGUGAAAGACGGUUUUGCUGUCACUUAUAGAUGGAUCCGCGCCGCAUUAGCUAGUUGGUAAGGUAACGGCUUACCAAGGCGACGAUGCGUAGCCGACCUGAGAGGGUGAUCGGCCACACUGGAACUGAGACACGGUCCAGACUCCUACGGGAGGCAGCAGUAGGGAAUCUUCCGCAAGGGGCGAAAGCCUGACGGAGCACCGCCGCGUGAGUGAUGAUGGUCUUCGGAUCGGAAAACUCUGUUAGUAGGGAAGAACAAAUGUGUAAGUAACUAUGCACGUCUUGACGGUACCUAAUCAGAAAGCCACGGCUAACUACGUG